GCUGAAGUGGUCUGGGUGCCUAUAGUGGUUCUUUAGUGGUUCUUUAUGCCCAUUGAAGUGGUCUGGGUGCCAACUCCCACUACAUUUAACCCUGCAAUUGUAAUUGUGACAAACUGCCAUUUGCCACUGGGCAUUGGAGAGGCCUGUUUGCCAGCCUCCUGCCCUGCGACUAUGGCCCUGGGAUGUAUUGCCCUUUAAGGAACUGAUUUGGGCAUACUGUAUUUUAUUAUGCUGCUGAC